rnacentral:rRNA from 1 species
UACCAGCACCCCGAGUGGUCGGGACGUUUUAUUGGGCCUAAAGCAUCCGUAGCCGGUUCACAAGUCUUCCGUUAAAUCCACCUGCUUAACAGAUGGGCUGCGGAAGAUACUAUAGAGCUAGGAGGCGGGAGAGGCAAGCGGUACUCGAUGGGUAGGGGUAAAAUCCGUUGAUCCAUUGAAGACCACCAGUGGCGAAGGCGGCUUGCCAGAACGCGCUCGACGGUGAGGGAUGAAAGCUGGGGGGAGCAAACCGGG